rnacentral:tRNA from 1 species
GGCCUUGUAGCUCAACGGAUAGAGCAAGUCCCUUCUAAGGACGAGAUGGAAGUUCGAUUCUUCCCAAGGUCACAA